AUGGGCUCUAGGCUUCUCUGCUGCGUGGCUCUUUGUCUCCUGGAAGCAGGCCCAGCAGAUUCUAGAGUCACCCAAACACUAAGACACCUGAUCAAAGCAACAAGACAGCAAGUGACAAUGAGAUGUUCCCCUAUCUCUACACAUCUCUCUGUGUACUGGUACCAACAGACCCUGGGCCAGGGCCCCAAGUUCCUCCUUCAGUACUACAAUGGGGAAGAGAGAGAAAAAGGAGCCAUCCGGGUUCAAUUCUCAGGGCGACAGUUCCAUGACCGAAGCUCUGAGCUGAACGUGAGCAUCUUGGAGCUGACAGACUCGGCCCUGUAUCUCUGUGCCAGCAGCUCGGCACAGCCCCGCAUGAUCAGCAGCCUCCAGCACAAAAACAUUCCCGCCCCAGCUCAGGAAGUGACAGCGAGGGUGGCAGCUGCCAGCCAGACAGACUCAGGCCCUCAUGUAUCAGACAGGCCUUUCCCAGACGUUCUACCUGCUGCUUCUGUAUGUGAUGUGUUUUAUGCUCACAGAAAUCAUGAAAAAUAA